rnacentral:rRNA from 1 species
UACGGAGGGGGCGAGCGUUAUUCGGAAUUAUUGGGCGUAAAGGGCGCGUAGGCGGCUGCACAAGUCAAAGGUGAAAUCCCUCGGCUCAACUGAGGAACUGCCUUUGAAACUGUGCGGCUUGAGUCCGGGAGGGGGUAGCGGAAUUCCCAGUGUAGCGGUGAAAUGCGUAGAUAUUGGGAGGAACACCAGUGGCGAAGGCGGCUACCUGGACCGGAACUGACGCUGAGGUGCGAAAGCGUGGGGAGCAAACAGG